rnacentral:misc_RNA from 1 species
CCGAGUUUUCAACUCCCAAACCCCCUGUGAACUUUAUACCGUUGCUUCGGCGGGCCCCCCUCCCCGGGGGAGCUCGCCGGGGGACCCAAACUCUUGUAUCUCUUUAUCGUACGGCAUGUCUGAGUGGAAUCAUUACACAAAUGAAUCA